GGAUUGUGGCUCAGUGGCACAGCACUUGCCUAGCAUGUAUGAGGCACUGGGUUCAAUUCUCAGCACCA
rnacentral:tRNA from 1 species